UACGUAGGGACCAAGCGUUGUUCGGAUUUACUGGGCGUAAAGGGCGCGUAGGCGGCAUGACAAGUCACUUGUGAAAUCUCCGGGCUUAACUCGGAACGGCCAAGUGAUACUGUCACGCUAGAGUGCAGAAAGGGCAAUCGGAAUUCUUGGUGUAGCGGUGAAAUGCGCAGAUAUCGGGAGGAACACCAGUGGCGAAGGCGGCACUCUGGGCCGGUACUGACGCUGAGGAGCGAAAGCGUGGGGAGCGAACAGG
rnacentral:rRNA from 1 species